AUUGAACGCUGGCGGCAUGCUCUACACAUGCAAGUCGAACGGUAACAGGCCGCUAGGUGCUGACGAGUGGCGAACGGGUGUGUAAUGCAUCGGAACGUGCCCAGUCGUGGGGGAUAACUACUCGAAAGAGUAGCUAAUACCGCAUACGAUCUAUGGAUGAAAGCGGGGGACCGUAAGGCCUCGCGCGAUUGGAGCUGCCGAUGUCAGAUUAGGUAGUUGGUGGGGUAAAGGCUCACCAAGCCAACGAUCUGUAGCUGGUCUGAGAGGACGACCAGCCACACUGGGACUGAGAAACGGCCCAGCCUCCUACGGGAGGCAGCAGUGGGGAAUUUGGGACAAUGGGCGCAAGCAUGAUCCAGCAAUGCCGCGUGCAGGAAGAAGGCCUUCGGGUUGUAAACUGCUUUUGUACGGAACGAAAAGGCUCUGGUUAAUACCCGGGGCUAAUGACGGUACCGUAAGAAUAAGCACCGGCUAACUACGU
rnacentral:rRNA from 1 species